GGCAAAUGGCAAAAAGGCCCAUCACAUGGGACUUAAAUGCAUUUUAGUCCACAAAAAAAACACUCUCUCAAUUAAGCCCAUCCCCAUGUCUUUAGUCUAAAAUACCCUCAAUAAUAUAAUUCUUAACAAUUCCACCCAUUAUGCUCUAACUUCCUUAAUAUUACACAUUGACCCCGGAUUUAAACAAAUAUAUCACAUUUACCCCCAAAACUUUUUUUUUUCAGAAAAUAAUUUUUUUUCUGAAAUAUUUUUUUCCGGCCAGAUUCCGG
rnacentral:lncRNA from 1 species